UGUAGUCUAUGCUUGUCUCAAAGAUUAAGCCAUGCAUGUCUAAGUAUAAGCAAUCAUACUGUGAAACUGCGAAUGGCUCAUUAAAUCAGUUAUCGUUUAUUUGAUAGUACCUUUACCUGGAUAACCGUGGUAAUUCUAGAGCUAAUACAUGCUAAAAAUCCCGACUUCGGAAGGGAUGUAUUUAUUAGAUAAAAAACCAAUGCCCUUCGGGGCUCCUUGGUGAUUCAUAAUAACUAAACGAAUCGCAUGGCCUUGCGCCGGCGAUGGUUCAUUCAAAUUUCUGCCCUAUCAACUUUCGAUGGUAGGAUAGUGGCCUACCAUGGUCUCAACGGGUAACGGGGAAU
rnacentral:rRNA from 1 species